rnacentral:rRNA from 1 species
UGCAGUCGACGCGAAAGUCCUUCGGGGCGAGUAGAGUGGCGGACGGGUGAGUAACGCGUGGGAAUCUACCCUGUAGUGGGGGACAACCCGGGGAAACUCGGGCUAAUACCGCAUACGUCCCAGGGGAGAAAGAGGGCCUCUGCUUGCAAGCUCUCGCUAUGGGAUGAGCCCGCGUCCGAUUAGCUAGUUGGUAGGGUAAAGGCCUACCAAGGCGACGAUCGGUAGCUGGUCUGAGAGGAUGACCAGCCACACUGGGACUGAGACACGGCCCAGACUCCUACGGGAGGCAGCAGUGGGGAAUAUUGCACAAUGGGCGCAAGCCUGAUGCAGCAAUGCCGCGUGUGUGAAGAAGGCCUGCGGGUUGUAAAGCACUUUCAGUGGGGAAGAAAAGUCUGGCGUGAAUACCGCCGGGUCUUGACGUUACCCACAGAAGAAGCACCGGCUAACUCCGUGCCAGCAGCCGCGGUAAUACG